AUUGAACGCUGGCGGCAGGCCUAACACAUGCAAGUCGAACGGUAACAGGAAGAAGCUUGCUUCUUUGCUGACGAGUGGCGGACGGGUGAGUAAUGUCUGGGAAACUGCCUGAUGGAGGGGGAUAACUACUGGAAACGGUAGCUAAUACCGCAUAACGUCGCAAGACCAAAGAGGGGGACCUUCGGGCCUCUUGCCAUCGGAUGUGCCCAGAUGGGAUUAGCUAGUAGGUGGGGUAACGGCUCACCUAGGCGACGAUCCCUAGCUGGUCUGAGAGGAUGACCAGCCACACUGGAACUGAGACACGGUCCAGACUCCUACGGGAGGCAGCGGUGGGGAAUAUUGGACAAUGGGCGCAAGCCUGAUGCAGCCAUGCCGCGUGUAUGAAGAAGGCCUUCGGGUUGUAAAGUACUUUCAGCGGGGAGGAAGGGAGUAAAGUUAAUACCUUUGCUCAUUGACGUUACCCGCAGAAGAAGCACCGGCUAACUCCGUG
rnacentral:rRNA from 1 species